rnacentral:rRNA from 1 species
AACGAACGCUGGCGGCAUGCCUAACACAUGCAAGUCGAACGAGACCUUCGGGUCUAGUGGCGCACGGGUGCGUAACGCGUGGGAACCUGCCCUUAGGCUCGGAAUAACUCCCCGAAAGGGGUGCUAAUACCGGAUAAUGUCUUCGGACCAAAGAUUUAUCGCCUUUGGAUGGGCCCGCGUUGGAUUAGCUAGUUGGUAGGGUAAAAGCCUACCAAGGCGACGAUCCAUAGCUGGUCUGAGAGGAUGAUCAGCCACACUGGGACUGAGACACGGCCCAGACUCCUACGCAAGGCAGCAGUGGGGAAUAUUGGACAAUGGGCGAAAGCCUGAUCCAGCAAUGCCGCGUAAGUGAUGAAGGCCUUAGGGUUGUAAAGCUCUUUUACCCGGGAUGAUAAUGACAGUACCGGGAGAAUAAGCUCCGGCUAACUCCGUG